UGAAAAUCCAACAAGACUUUACACCAAUUUCUAUACAAGUGCAUCUUAUACUCGCUUUUUUUGCUCUUUCGACGGUCCAAAGAUAAUAUUGAAAUAUUCUACGAUAUUUUUAUGUAUAUCGAAAAUAUUUCUACAAAGAAUACGGAUAUUAUUAUAACGGCUUAGUGUAUAUAGAAUGUGAGAAAAGGAAAAAAAGAGUAGAAUAAGCGUAGGAUUAUUUGGCGGAUUGGCAUCGUUUCAUAGUCGAUAAAUAGCAGAGAAAUCUCGUUAACUCUCGGUCGCAGUGUUACAAGCUCGUGCUCGAAUUCGCGAUUAGCAAACGACUAUUGUACGCAUGCGAGUAUGAUUCGUUUUCAAAAGACUUUCUUUUCUUUUAUUAUUGAGCAGAUUGUUAACGCGAUAUUUGUCAAAAUCUAAAGCGGAAAAAGUGUUUUAUUUCCAUUCGAGAAAUCGAGAUUAUAUUGACAAUUAUUCAUGAAGCUUAAUUACAUGCAAUUAAAAACGAAGAAAACACGUUUCCACGUUGUCAUUCUUAACCUUUGGACAUACUCUUGAUCUGUGGACGUUUAUAUCGUGUCAGUUUCUUACGUACGAUAUACGACUAGCUGACGUUACGUGGUUCUUUCAAACUAAUUAUAAGGAAUAAAAAAAGAAAAAACUAUUUGAAAGGACACCGAUCACAGACAAAAAGUGCCAUUUAAAACUGGUUGUAUAGAAAUUGAAAUCUUUUUAGAUAGGCUGGAAGAGUCAGAUGUAAUCAACGAGCGACGAUCAUGAGCCCGUGACAAGCAAGCGAUAUUACGAUGCGAUAUUACGAUGCGAUAUUACGAUGCGAUAUUACGAUGCAAUCUUAUGACCCGUUUUCCAUGCUCGUAUUUACAAUAUUUGAGAACGUUAUUACCAACUGAAUAUGGCCUUCAAUACCGAAAUAACCAGUUUUCCUCGAAUCCUGACGGUUCAUUUUGAAAUAAAAACAAAAUCCAAUCGUCGAUAUUCGCGAAGUCUCAUUGGAAAAAUCGUCUCGAAAAUGUGUGCUGGAAAUUAUUGUUAGUUAUUAUGUAAACGCAUCGAAGAAAACGACUCUCGUGAAGUAAUCGUUUUUAAGUAUGUAUUUAUAAUUUCUAAGAUAACGAUCGAAAACAUGUUUUUCAGUGACGUUACGCAAAAUAAUACAAUUUUUUAUUGAAAUGAUCAGAACAAGAGAGUGAAACGAAGAGUAUAAAAAAUAAUAUGUAAUAAAAAAUAAAUGUUCUUGGAGCUCGACGCACGUAUGCUUAUUGCAUAUAUACAUAGGUAAAAAGUUUAAAUACGUUAGUGAAUUCGCUGAGUAAUCGAAGAAAAGGCCUUGUAGACUUGAGCGACAGUAAAACAGUUCAAAGCUCCCUCGCGGAGAUGUAAUAGUCACGUUCUUGGUUACGCGGGGGCAGCACUUGCUAGUCAUGGAUAUGCGAGAUAUGUUAUUUCUUUAACCCAAUCUUCGUUCACUUCUCGCAUUCUUACGUGCGAGUCGAGCUACGAGAUCUCUAUUUUUACACCUCGUUAUGUCAACGAUUACGAAGAACAUGAAAUUCUACACUAAGGAAGCUGUAUGAUAUAAAAGCAAAGAUCGUAUCUUAUAAAAACACGUUAUAACCUCUAAAAAAAAACAAACACCUUAUUUAUUACAAAUAUAUCCUUCGAUUAUUUCCCAUCG
rnacentral:lncRNA from 1 species